UACGAAGGGGGCUAGCGUUGCUCGGAAUUACUGGGCGUAAAGGGCGCGUAGGCGGCCGAUCAAGUCAGGCGUGAAAUUCCCGGGCUCAACCUGGGGGCUGCGCUUGAGACUGGUUGGCUAGAGGCCGAGAGAGGGUGGUGGAAUUCCCAGUGUAGAGGUGAAAUUCGUAGAUAUUGGGAAGAACACCGGUGGCGAAGGCGGCGACCUGGUCCUUGACUGACGCUGAGGCGCGAAAGCGUGGGGAGCAAACAGG
rnacentral:rRNA from 1 species